rnacentral:lncRNA from 1 species
CUCCACUCAGAGAAGCCAUCCCUCGCCUGCUCAGUCAGUGUGUUACUAUAAGCAGCCAGCAGCAACUUGGGGCCAAGCUUCCCUUCUACAAAACCACUAAGAAAUUGGCUUCAAAUCAGAUGUGUUCUUGUGUCUUUGCCCUUUAUCACCUUCUUCCCCACCACUGGGAUCCAAUAAGCAUUUAUUAACUACCAGCUUGUGCACUGGACACUAGACAAGGCGCGGUGAGAUAGAGACAAAAAUAAAGAAGAAUACCUCCCCGCAGGGAGUUUACAUUCUCCUGGGGGUGCGAGUGGAGACACACGUAAACAAGCGUAAGCCAGCUAAUUUGACAUGGGAAAGCGUAUGACAACUAAGGAGUGCAGGAAAGGCUUCCUGUAGGAGGUGGCAUGUGCUGAGACUUGAAGGUCACUGAGGAUAUGAAGAAACAGAGAUGUUGGAGGAGCACAUCUCAGAGAUGGGGGACAGCCGGUACUAAGUUCAAGCCGCAGAUUUUGAGGAGCUGUGAGGACAAAAUGACUUGGCUGCCAUCCCGCCGUUGGCAACUGACAGAAGGGACGCUUUAAUCCACCUCACUGCACUCCCGCGUCCAGUGUCCUUCCACUAAUCACAGAAUCUUGGAGCUAGAAGAAGCCUUAGACAUCAUCGAGCCCAACUAAAUCAAAAGUCACAGAGGAAAAGGGACUCCUGCAGCAUCUCCCAGGGAGCUGGUGGCCGUCCGAAGGAAAGCCCGAGCUCUUCAGCCCUAACGUCGGGCCAGGGGCAGAAGAAGGCAGCAUUGGUGUAGAGGAAAGAACACUGGGCUUGUGGGCGGAGCUGGCUUUGAGUCUGCUCUGCCCCUCAUUAGCCAGUUAGACCCACUUGAUGAAGAUUAUAGCCUUUAAGAAACCAAUCUUCCUCUCUGUGUGAAUGUCCCAGAAAAGGAGCCCAUCUCUAAUGGCUUUAGCGUUAGCCUUAGUGUUUGAGUUCAAGCCCACAGCAUUUCAUGACUCACGAUAAUGGAGACAACACAACCCCACGGGGCGCUCACUGAGGUGACAAUAAAACAUUUCCUUCCGUAGCUCA